UCUUCUCCGAGCUCACCUGCAGCAUCUCCUACCCGCCGCCGCACCCGCACCAUCUCCUCCCGCCGCCGUUUCAUGCUCCAUGGAAGGAUUUAGUUGAGGUGUACUGGUUUCUUUUUAGGGAUUUCUUCUCCAGUUUUUUGGUCCUGAGUUUGUGCCUCAACUUUCCCGAUUUUCCCCCUUCAGAUUGGUCCGUAGAAGAAGAGGUGCAGGGCUGCAGAUGCCAGGGCGUGAGAGCCCCCGCCGACGGUGGCAAGGAGGAGCCCGCGAUGGGAACGGGCACACCCAUGUUGUCCGAGCUCCAGCCCACCCCUCUUCGUCUUGCACGACGGAACGAGGGCGACUUCAUUGAUGGUCUGCAACCCCGGCGAGGUGAGAGCCAGCGGUUGCGACGUCGUCAUCCUGCACUCUCCUCCAUCAAGCUGGUCUGCGGUGGUUUUGCGGCGAAGGGGUGCAUGAAGCCGACGGGGAUGUAUUACCGAGAUAGGGUGCGGGUGGCCAGUCUUGCAGAAUUUUAGACCAACGGUGAGCAGGCAUCAGCAGCCGGUGUUGGUUGGAGAGACAUAACGGCAUGCAUGUGAUGCGGCUGGGGGAGUCAUCCUGCUCCUGGAAGCUGUUGUGCUGCCUCUCAGCACGACUGCUGACCUGCACCUUCAUCACAUGUAGGGCAGAGUUGAGGGUGAUGUGUUCAUUGGUGAUGCUUUUUUUGAAUGGUAUUGGUGAUGCUUUUCAGUGAAAUGUUGUGUUUGGCAGCCACUUUGUCUGGCGGCAUGAAGAACCAGGCCUUGACAGUUUCAUAAGCUGCGGCCUUUCAUACUUCCACAGAUACAUUGUAGCCGAUACGACUCUGAUGGCUAGCGACAAGCAGCUCAGAGACCGGGAAUCCUACAAGCUCAUGUCCGUCCAAGUAUUCUCGACAAGCAUCCUCGUGAAUUUCAUGAUUUACUUAUCCUUCUAGAAUUAUAAAUGUUUUAAAAUAUUAUGUCCAUAAUCACAUGUAUAUGUAGUUUGUCAUUUGCGCAAUGAAUGGCCACCGAAAAUUGCAAGCUUGCUGUUUCAUGCCAUAUAUCCAACAUUAUUGUGAUGAAUGUUGUACUUUUUACUCAGGAAUGGUAGACAAAAGUUUCUUGGUAUCCUGAUUGCCAUUGUGGAGCCGUGACCUGUGUCCUGCGGGAGCCAACUUGGAACUGGGAAUGCUAUUCUCAUUAUACUCUGUUUGCUGACAUCAUUGUCAUCUCAUCUGUGAUAUGUCUAGAUGAACUUCUCCACAAAAGCUUUUGGUUCUGGCAUUUCUAUGUUCAUUGCUACCAUUGUCUGGGAAGCAUAUUGAACUUUAUUUUGUGAUCUUGAUCUUCUAUUCCAUUGCAAGUUGGCUUCUGCUAAAUUUGUUGUUAUGUACUGGGAAUAUCAUCUGGAAGGCGGUUAGCCCCACGACCAUCAACAGUGAACGUGGUGCUGAAUUUGGAGGGUUUGUCACUGCAUUGCUUCAUCUGUUGAUUACUCGAUCUGGCAAAGUCUGUGCCCUAAGAGAGGCUUUCUACCACCAGAAUAUGCAAAAUGUGACCAAAUUGUUUGCUACUGUAUUGGUCUUUCUUAUGGUUAUGUAUUUCCAAGGCUUCGAUAUUGUCCUUCCAGUGAGAUCAAAGAAUGCUCUUGGUCAGCGAGGCUAAUAUCCAAUAAAGUUGUUCUACACUUCGAGCAUGCCCACCAUUUUCCAUUCUGCACUGAUUACCAACCUAUAUUUCAUUUCGCAGGCACAAGCUUUGAUUCUUGAAUUGUAGUAACUAUAGUAGAGUAAGGACUUGCAUGUAUGUUUAGGUGCUGACACACGCUAAUUGUUUCUUGCAGCUUCUGUACAGGAAGCACAGUGGAGAUUUCAUGGUUAGCCUUCUCGCCAUAUGGAAAUAAUAUGAAUAUUCUCGUCAUUCUGUUACUACUGGUGCUCUUGCUUAUGACGUGACUGCACCAUCCAGGUGAAUAAUUGAUUACUUGGCAUUGCUACCUUUUUCCAUUUUGUCGUCUAGGUUUUUCCAUUUUUUUCUUCACCAGCUACAGAUUAUUGUACUGAGUAUAUUCACUAAUUGGCAACGGAUAGAGAAAGUCAUCUUCACGUGGCAGGGUGUCGCCUUGUUGCAGAUAACCACCCAGAGUUCAUCACUAAGAAUGGAUCGCCUCUAUUUGGAGUUCAGCAUUUAGUACGAUCUCAUGCCCAAGUUUAAUAAGCACAUAUGAUUUUAUACUUUGCUCUAAUAUGUUAUACCCUUCCAAAGAAUUAUUAUUCUUCAUGCUUUGCCUGCUAAACAAGUAUGAUGAUGACAUAAUUCUUUACUUGGCAUGAUGAUUUACUUUCUAUUGACUGGUUUGUCCACACUGACUUAUGUAUACGGCUAAUACAUUACAUGCUAAUCUACACAACAACUUUCUUUAGAGAUUUUGUAAUGAAUGAUGGAAGAGGUACCAAAUGAAUUUUAAAGCAUUGCUUAAAGGAUCCAGAUAGCUAUGCUUUGGGUUAGUUUUUUUAUUAGGAUCUCUCUACGAACUUUUCCCUCUGUACUGUUGGUGUCGAUGAUGAAGACCACUUUUUUUGGUCUGAUUAUGGAAUGAUUUGGACACAUAUUAUCACCUUUAGCUUGCAAGGUAUGUUACCAUCUCAUGCUGCAUCCGCUUAAAUAACUUUUUGUGUUGGACUAGGGAUUUGGGAUUAGCUAUUUACAGAUAGCCAAGAAGGACAUGGCCCUCUUGGUGGAUUCUGCUGUUGUCACUGUCUUGUAUCAUUCCGACAAAAGUAAAUCCAUUUUUAGCGUUGUUUGCAUGGAAAUUUAAAAUAUUUGUGAAGUGGAGCAAUUUAUCAGUCCUAAGAAUGCCAGAUUUGACUCCAUUAACUAUGUAGGUUGCGGCAGUUUUUCAAGCUUCGAUUAUUACGAGAACAGUGCGAUAGGUGUUUAUCAUACAAAAUAUUGGUCUAGCCUCUUGAACGAUACUUACGAGAAUACAAAUUUCAUGCAUUCAUCAGUACAAAGCUCAGAUAACAUUGUUUUAUAUUCCACUCCCUCCGUUCAGGUAACUGGUAAUCAAAGUAACCCUACUCUUGUAUUUACUCCCAUGUUUACACAUAUACAAGCCAUAUUCUAACCAUAUGCCAUGUGGUACUUUGAUUGCCUGUGCCCAAAAGCAAGGCCAGCGCCCAGCCCUUGCACGCCACAUGAGCCUCUCAAGAUUAACUUUACUAUAAGCACACUUACUGUAAGCACUUCAUUUGAUAUGCGAAAAAGAACACUUAUUGUUAGCCCGGUCGUUUUAGCUUCUAGACAUUUAAUCAAUAUUAACUUCCAAAAUUUUAUUGUGGUGCUUGUAUGUUCACAGAGAACCAUCGACAUAUGGUUUAGUGACAGUAUUACAUACGGCAUUACUGUUCGUGGAUGAAAAAAAUAUGUGUGGUUUUCGGUUGAUGGUGAUCUUUAUUGUUAUUUUCAUUAACUUCUAGCAUCUGGUCGCUUUUUUUAUACCCAUUAUCACAUGCUAAUUUGUUUAUAAAAGAACAUUCCAUUUAUACAACUACUCUUAUCUUUGCAUGCUACAAAAUGAAAUAAGUUUGGCUUGUCCUUAUCUGAGUAUACACAUCAGCAAUGUGUUAUUACUCACAGUAACUCCUCUUUUUUAUCUCAUUUUUUUGUAUUUAUAUGUAUUAAAAACUUUACUCCCAUUUCGAUGUUCUUUGUUAAAUAUUUGGUGGAGAAGAGUUCAGGUAGUCAACUGGAUACAUGCAUAUUUUUUGAUUGCUCAAGAACAUUUAUCUAUCUUUACCGAGAUGUAUACAUUUCAUUACUUGUCAGAAGAUCCCUCUGAUCCUGUUGUUGAUUUCUGUUGUAGGUAUCAGUAUCAUUUUCAUUUUCAUUUUCAUACCACGACGAUAAUCUGCAAGCCCAACUUAGUUCAGAGUUCAUGCUGCUCUGGAAUUUCUGUCAUGUGUGCAUCUUUUGCUAUGUACAUUUUUAAAGCCCACUCGUGGUAGAUUUGUUUAGGUUUGGUCCACCUUUCCAUAGAUUGAUUUUCAUGUAAGAUUAUUGAUUUCUGUAAACAGGUUACCAUUUGGUAUUCAUUGGAUACAUAACUGAAUGCAAGUGUGUGUAAGCAGAAGAGAAGAACUUGAUUAACAUGAAGAUUGAUAGCUUUC